rnacentral:rRNA from 1 species
UACGGAGGAUGCAAGCGUUAUCCGGAAUUAUUGGGCGUAAAGCGUCCGUAGGUGGCUAGUCAAGUCUGCGGUCAAAGACUGGGGCUUAACCCUGGAAAGGCCGUGGAAACUGACGAGCUAGAGUGCAGUAGGGGUAGAGGGAAUUCCCGGUGUAGCGGUGAAAUGCGUAGAGCUCGGGAAGAACAUCGGUGGCGAAAGCGCUCUACUGGACUGCAACUGACACUCAGGGACGAAAGCUAGGGGAGCGAAUGGG